GUCACUUCUCUUUAUGGCACCAUAAACUUUUCUCUCCUAGGCUUGUUGCUGCUGAAUUCAGAGGAAAGAAGUUUUAUUACAACACGAGAAUUUAGACUUUCUGCCUUGGAGAGACAUCUCACAGAUCAACAAGGUCUAGAAUGAAAGAUACGGCAAUGUUCCUGAAAGCAAAAACUGUGGGAACCAAGGACUGCCAGACAAAGCCACCUGAAUUGUCCACAGGGAA